UAUUUAUAAUUUAUUAAUUAUUAUUAUAACACUCAAAUGAUGAUAUCGUGAAUAUUUAUAAUCCAAUAAUAUUUGACCUUUGAUCGUGGCAACUACAGUAAUAACUGUACUUAUUAUGAUGGGUUCUUUUUAGAUCAUACACCGGAACAUAUACACAUGAGUCAUAGUCCGUAGACGUAGAGUAUAUAAACAUUUUAAAAUAUUAUAUCCAAAGUUACAAAGUCAACUGCAAUUUAUUAAGGGCCUUUAAUAGUUCCGCAAUAUUGAACUUCAACACUCGGAUUACAAACAUUAAAAUGACCGCACUGAGAUGAGACUUUUUAUCGUUCUACUCACUAUAAUAUACUUGUAUAUUAUUUAUAAUAUUAUAGUACAGCAAUACAAUGAUGUCUUCUGAAAUAUGAGAUUUCCAUUCAAAUGAAACUAAAUAUUGUUAUAUUCGAC